rnacentral:rRNA from 1 species
GAUGAGCGCUAGCUACAGGCUUAACACAUGCAAGUCGAGGGGUAACGAGAGGGAAGCUUGCUUUCCUUGCCGACGACCGGCGCACGGGUGAGUAACGCGUAUCCAACCUGCCCCCAACUAGGGAAUAACCUUGCGAAAGUAAGACUAAUACCCUAUAAUUUCCUCAGAUGUCAUCUGACGAGGAAUAAAGAUUUAUCGGUUGUGGAUGGGGAUGCGUCUGAUUAGCUUGUUGGCGGGGUAACGGCCCACCAAGGCAACGAUCAGUAGGGGUUCUGAGAGGAAGGUCCCCCACAUUGGAACUGAGACACGGUCCAAACUCCUACGGGAGGCAGCAGUGAGGAAUAUUGGUCAAUGGGCGGAAGCCUGAACCAGCCAAGUAGCGUGCAGGAUGACGGCCCUAUGGGUUGUAAACUGCUUUUAUACAGGAAUAAAGUUAGCCACGUGUGGUUAUUUGUAGGUACUGUAUGAAUAAGGACUGGCUAAUUCCGUGCCAGCCGCCGCUGUAA